AACGAACGCUGGCGGCAGGCUUAACACAUGCAAGUCGAGCGCCCCGCGAGGGGAGCGGCCGACGGGUGAGUAACGCGUGGGAAUCUACCCAUCUCUACGGAAUAACGCAUGGAAACGUGUGCUAAUACCGUAAACGUCCUUCGGGAGAAAGAUUUAUCGGAGAUGGAUGAGCCCGCGUGGGUUUAGCGAGUUGGUGGGGUAGAGGCCUACCAAGGCGACGAUCCAUAGCUGGUCUGAGGGGAUGGUCAGCCACACUGGGAGUGAGACACGUCCCAGACUCCGACGGAAGGCAGCAGUGGUGAAUAUUGGACAAUGGGCGCAAGCCUGAGCCAGCCAUGCCGCGUGAGUGAUGAAGGCCCUAGGGUUGUAAAGCUCUUUCACCGGUGAAGAUAAUGACGGUAACCGGAGAAGAAGCCCCGGCUAACUUCGUGCCAGCCGCCGCUGUAACAC
rnacentral:rRNA from 1 species